rnacentral:rRNA from 1 species
UACGUAGGGGGCAAGCGUUGUCCGGAAUUAUUGGGCGUAAAGCGCGUGUAGGCGGCUCGGUAAGUCUGCUGUGAAAGUCCAGGGCUCAACCCUGGAACGCCGGUGGAUACUGUCGAGCUCGAGUCCGGAAGAGGCGAGUGGAAUUCCUGGUGUAGCGGUGAAAUGCGCAGAUAUCAGGAGGAACACCAGUAGCGAAGGCGGCACGCUGGGCCGGUACUGACGCUGAGGAGCGAAAGCGUGGGGAGCGAACAGG